GGUCGGCUGGCCUAAUGGUAAGGCAUCCGUUUCCGGUUUGUUUCCAGACUGCGGAAGAUUGCAGGUUCGAGUCCUGCGUCGAUCG